rnacentral:rRNA from 1 species
AUUGAACGCUGGCGGCAGGCUUAACACAUGCAAGUCGAGCGAGCGGCGGACGGGUGAGUAAUGCCUGGGAAACUGCCUGAUGGGGGGGGAUAACCACUGGAAACGGUAGCUAAUACCGCAUACCAUCAGAUUUGCCCAGAUGGGAUUAGCGGGUGGGUGGGGUAAUGGCUAACCUAGGCGACGAUCCCUACCUGGUCUGAGAGGAUGACCAGCCACAGUGGAACGGAGACACGGUCCAGACUCCUACGGGAGGCAGCAGUGGGGAAUAUUGCACAAUGGGCGCAAGCCUGAUGCAGCCAUGCCGCGUGUGUGAAGAAGGCCUUCGGGUUGUAAAGCACUUUCAGCGAGGAGGCGUUACUCGCAGAAGAAGCACCGGCUAACUCCGUGCCAGCAGCCGCGGUAAUAC